rnacentral:rRNA from 1 species
UACGAAGGGGGCUAGCGUUGCUCGGAAUCACUGGGCGUAAAGCGCACGUAGGCGGCUUGUUAAGUCAGGGGUGAAAUCCUGGAGCUCAACUCCAGAACUGCCUUUGAUACUGGCGAUCUCGAGUCCGGGAGAGGUGAGUGGAACUGCGAGUGUAGAGGUGAAAUUCGUAGAUAUUCGCAAGAACCCCAGUGGCGAAGGCGGCUCACUGGCCCGGUACUGACGCUGAGGUGCGAAAGCGGGGGGAGCAAACAGG